rnacentral:misc_RNA from 1 species
AAAAGAAGUUGGCAAGUGGCAACACUGGACUUGUGGUUGUCAUAUGUCAUAUUUCAAAGUACGACGUUUUUCAGCAAUCAAGAAUAUUCUUAAAUUAUUCAGAUUGCAUUGACAUUUGUUUAAAUAAGUAAUCUUUUCUUUGCCGAAAAGACCUUAUCAACCAAAAAAAUGAGUUGUCCAUUUAACGAAGAGCAGCUAACGCAGCUAAAUGCUUUCGUUGAUCUCUGUAAGGCUCAACCACUUAUCCUCCAUCAUCCGAAAUUGGCAUUUUUUAAGGAUUAUCUGGUAUCACUCGGCGUCCGUUUGCCAACAGCUACCUUUGGCUCGAAGCCAUUUACUGCAUCAGGAGAUGGACAUCCUCCUACAAGCAAUUUAGAAGAAAAUGCUGCAAAACCUGCAUCCUCUGAAUCUGAAGAGUCUGAUCUAGAACUUGAUAUGGAAGGAGUAAUUACAAGUGCUGAUUCAGAAGCUACUCAGGAAAUGGGAGAUCCAUCGAAAGAAGUCACAGAUGAAGAGAGAGACCAAUCUGAUGAGAAGCGCACAGCGGCAAUGGAGGCUUUCUCUAAACAGGAAUAUGAAGAAGCCAUCGCUUUAUACACAGAGGCUAUUAAACUUAACCCACAAAGUGCUGUGCUCUUUGCAAAAAGGGGUCAAGCAUUUCUCAAACUGAACAAACUACAUGCAUGCAUCAAAGAUUGUUCUCAUACCCUGGAGUUAAACUGUGAUAGUGCAGCUGCUUAUAAGUUUCGUGGUCGUGCCUAUAGGCUCUUAGGCUCUUUUGAAAAUGCCUCACAUGAUCUUUGUGAAUCUCUUAAAAUUGACUAUGAUGACCAAGUCAAUGAAUGGUUGAGUGAAAUCAAGCCAAAUGCUGAUAAAAUUCGUCAGCACAAGCUCAGUAGGCAGCGCAGGAAGGAAGACAAGGAGCACUCUGAGAAGCUGCGUCGCGCUCGCGAAGCCCAAGAGGCGGAGACCGCGAAGAAGCAAGCAAAUCCGGCCGCGGGUGGUCCGUUCAAUAUGCCCACAAACUUGCCCUCCUUCUUUGCUAAUGUACUCAAUAACCCGGAAAUGAUGGCUGCUUUUGAGGACCCAGAAGUCAUGAAUGCAUUCUACGAUGUUUCCUCAAACCCAGCUAAUUUCGCAAAAUACCAGAACAAUCCCAAGAUAGCAGCUGUGUUUGAAAUGUUUCACAAGAAAUUUGGCAAUACAGCCUUCGCAAAAGAUUUCCCGGCCGGCGCUCAAGCGACUGGAGCCACAUCGAAACCCUACGACGAUGACGUAGGACUAGACUAAACACUAAAUAAAACAGAUAUUCAUUUAUCUUUUAAUUCUUGCCUAAAUUUAAGGUUUCUAUGUAUUGUCUAUGCUCUAUAUCAUUAUUAUGGAAAUAAUUUUUAAUAUUAAAAUUAAGUAGGGCCAAAUAGAGCUCAUGCAUACACACUGUUUUAUCGUAAUCUGUGAAAGUAUGUAGAUCAAGGCAUCUUUAAGUUGCAAAUUCUAUUUUAAAACAUUUUAUUAAGGGUAUAUCAUCCACAACUUUUAUGAUUAAUGAAAUGUAUGAAGAGUUAGCAUUCAACUUUCAAGCAUAUCAUCUGAAGUAGUAUUUACGUGUGUAUGGACUGUAAUAUGAUGCAUUUACAUAAAAAUAUAACUCUUAAUGUCAUAUAUUCUUCUGAUAAGUGCUUUAAA